rnacentral:tRNA from 1 species
GCAGAGAUGGUUCAGUGAUAGAAUUCUCACCUUCCAUGUGGGAGUCCUGGGUUCAAUUCUUAGCCAAUGCA